AGCGAACGCUGGCGGCAGGCUUAACACAUGCAAGUCGAGCGGGCACUUUCGGGUGUCAGCGGCGGACGGGUGAGUAACGCGUGGGAACGUGCCCUCUGGUUCGGAAUAACUCAGGGAAACUUGAGCUAAUACCGGAUACGCCCUUUUGGGGAAAGGCUUGCUGCCGGAGGAUCGGCCCGCGUCUGAUUAGCUAGUUGGUGAGGUAACGGCUCACCAAGGCGACGAUCAGUAGCUGGUCUGAGAGGAUGAUCAGCCACACUGGGACUGAGACACGGCCCAGACUCCUACGGGAGGCAGCAGUGGGGAAUAUUGGACAAUGGGCGCAAGCCUGAUCCAGCCAUGCCGCGUGAGUGAUGAAGGCAUUAGGGUUGUAAAGCUCUUUUAUCCGGGACGAUAAUGACGGUACCGGAGGAAUAAGCCCCGGCUAACUUCGUG
rnacentral:rRNA from 1 species